CGAGCGCUUAUUGGCUUGCUAUACCUGAGAGAAGAGAAAGGCUGCUCACGCUGUCGGUGUGUGUAUGAAAAAGAAAAACCGCCGUAAUCGAGAACUGCGCCAACCUAAUUUCCGUGUCAGGAGGAAAAUAAAACGAAUCCUCGCACAUUACAUCUGUGACGCAGUAGUCAUUUCACAGGAUGUUACCAGGGGAUGCCAAUGCGCCAUCUGCCAGUCUGCCUGACGGGAAUAACAGAUGAGAGAGGGAAAAGGGGAGGAGGAAGAAAAAGAGUGUGCUCUCAGUGUGCUGCUCUCAGUCUUCAGAUUUUGGCAUCAGUGGCAGGUGCUCAGUGCGCCAUGACAUGGAGGUAUUCAAGGGAAAUAGACCUAAUUAUGUGUUUU